UACGAAGGGGGCUAGCGUUGCUCGGAAUCACUGGGCGUAAAGGGUGCGUAGGCGGGUUUUUAAGUCAGGGGUGAAAUCCUGGAGCUCAACUCCAGAACUGCCUUUGAUACUGAAGAUCUUGAGUCCGGGAGAGGUGAGUGGAACUGCGAGUGUAGAGGUGAAAUUCGUAGAUAUUCGCAAGAACACCAGUGGCGAAGGCGGGUCACUGGCCCGGUACUGACGCUGAGGCACGAAAGCGUGGGGAGCAAACAGG
rnacentral:rRNA from 1 species